rnacentral:ncRNA from 1 species
GAAGCUCUACCGCCCCUUCAAGCGAUGAUCUCGUUCAUCGACGAACACCGUGAUGUAUUCGGGGUCGAGCCGAUCUGCAGACUGCUGCCGCGCCC